AAAAAGGGAGAUAUUAAUUGAAAUUAAUUGAAAGAGCAUAUACCUGUGCACUUGGACGAGAAUCAUUAUUAUCAAACCAGAAGGAGCAGCAAUCUGCAUUGCCCACAGGAACCAGGCAGAAAGCUGGUUGUUAAACAUUUACUAAAACACCACUGGAUACAAGUGACAUCAUACAAGAUCCAGUCCCUGCAACCACUGAUCUGCCUCCUCCCUCUAUGGCGUCACCUGUUUGGAACAUUUCAUGUAAAUGGAACCAUACAAGAUGUGACCUUUUGUGACUGGCUUCUCUCACUUGGCAUAAUGGUCUUCUGUUUGUUUGUUUGUUUGUUUGUUUUGUUGCUCUGUCACCCAGGCUAGAGUGCAGUGGCUCCAUCUCAGUUCACCGUGACCUCCGUCUCCUGGGUUCAAGGAAUUCUCAUGCCUCAGCCUCCCAAGAAGCUGGGAUUACAGGCAUGCACCAACACAAUUGGUUCACUUUUGUAUUUUUAGUAGAGAUAGGGUUUUGCCAUGUUGGCCAGCUGGUCUCAAACUCCUGGUCUCAAGCAAUCCACCCACCUUGGCCUCAAGCAAUCCACCCACUUUGGCUUCCCAAAGUGCUGGGAUUACAGGCAUGAACCACCAUGCCCAGGUAGCAUAAUGUUUUGAGGUUCAUUCAUAUUGCUGCAUGGAUCAGUCUUCAAUUCCUUUUUAUAGCUAGAUAAUAUUCCAUUUCAUGGAUCUACCACAUUUCGCUUCUCUGCUGGUGCUGUUUUGUACCUCAUCUACCCAAAUACAAAACUUGCAUUUCCAUUUCCACAACAAUCCCUGCUCACAGUUUCCUCAUGGGGAUAAUGAUACUUCAUCACAUCCUGUAAGGGUUAAAUAAUACACAACAUGUAAAGCGACCAAAAGCACCUAGCAACUAGUGCUCAAUAAUAUAUUAUUAAUUAUUAUAUCAUCAUUAUAGUCAUUAUGCAAUCAUUAUGAUCAUAUAAAUUCCUCCAACCUCUUGUUUUCUGUUGUAUCUAUUCAUUUGUUUCACAAAUUAUCUUUUUUUUUUUUUUUUUGAGACUGAGUUUCACUCUGUGGCCCAGGCUGGAGUGCAGUGGCACGAUCUUGGCUCACUGCAACCUUUGUCUCCCGGAUUCAAGUGAGUCUCCUGCCUCAGCCUCCCGAGUAGCUGGGACCAUAGGCGCCUGCCACCAUGCUCGGCUAAUUUUUGUAUUUUUAGUAGAGACAGGGUUUCACCAUGUUGGCCAGGCUGGUCUUGAACUCCUGACCUCAGGUGAUCCACCUGCCUCGGCCUCCCAAAAUGGUGAGAUUACAGGUGUGAGGCACUGCACUUGGCCCACAAAAUAUCUUAAAUGCAAUUAUGGUUGGAUAGCCGCAGAGAGAUGUCUGGAUUAGGUACUUGCAAGGAUUAUGUUGAAUUGCAUACUCCUUUGGUUCCCAAUCUGGGGCCAUGAAGCCAUGAGAUCUCUAUUAUACCGUUACAGCAAGGAGUUCAUGAACCACAACUGCAGCAAGCAUUUUCUAGCACUCAGUGGCUACCCUUUCUCUCCUACACAUACAGGCACUACUGUUUCUCAAAUGUGUGCAGUCUCUGUUGAGAAUGAAUAAAAGAU
rnacentral:lncRNA from 10 species